CCAUUACUGUUGCUAACAUGCAACUCUGUUAUGUAUAAACUGGAAUUGCACUUUAGCAAUGGUGAUGG
rnacentral:pre_miRNA from 13 species